rnacentral:rRNA from 1 species
AUUGAACGCUGGCGGCAUGCCUUACACAUGCAAGUCGAACGGUAACGGGCCUUCGGGUGCCGACGAGUGGCGAACGGGUGAGUAAUGUAUCGGAACGUACCUUUCAGUGGGGGAUAACGUAGCGAAAGUUACGCUAAUACCGCAUAUUCUGUGCGCAGGAAAGCAGGGGACCUUCGGGCCUUGCGCUGAUUGAGCGGCCGAUAUCAGAUUAGCUAGUUGGUGAGGUAAAGGCUCACCAAGGCGACGAUCUGUAGCGGGUCUGAGAGGAUGAUCCGCCACACUGGAACUGAGACACGGUCCAGACUCCUACGGGAGGCAGCAGUGGGGAAUUUUGGACAAUGCGGGCAACCCUGAUCCAGCCAUGCCGCGUGAGUGAAGAAGGCCUUCGGGUUGUAAAGCUCUUUCGGCCGGGAAGAAAUCGUAUCAGCUAAUACCUGGUGCGGAUGACGGUACCGGCAUAAGAAGCACCGGCUAACUACGUGCCAGCCGCCGCGGUAACAC